rnacentral:misc_RNA from 1 species
AGCAGCCGCGGUAAUUCCAGCUCCAAUAGCGUAUAUUAAAGUUGUUGCAGUUAAAAAGCUCGUAGUUGAAUUUCGGGAUCAAUUUGCUGGUCGUGCCUCUGGUACGUACUGGUAUUAUUGGUUUCUCCCUUCUGACGAACCAUGAUGUCAUUAAUUUGAUGUCGUGGAGAAUCAGGACUGUUACUUUGAAAAAUUAGAGUGUUUAAAGCAGGCAUUAGCUUGAAUACAUUAGCAUGGAAUAAUGAAAUAGGACGUUUGAUCCUAUUUUGUUGGUUUCUAGGAUUGACGUAAUGAUUAAUAGGGAUAGUUGGGGGCAUUAGUAUUCAAUUGUCAGAGGUGAGAUUCUUGGAUUUAUUGAAGACUAACUACUGCGAAAGCAUUUGCCAAGGAUGUUUUCAUUAAUCAAGAACGAAAGUUAGGGGAUCGAAGACGAUCAGAUACCGUCGUAGUCUUAACCAUAAACUAUGCCGACUAGGGAUCGGAUGAUGUUAAUUUUAAUGUACUC